rnacentral:rRNA from 1 species
CAGUCGGCGGUAAUACGUAGGGUGCAAGCGUUAAUCGGAAUUACUGGGCGUAAAGCGUGCGCAGGCGGUUUGUUAAGACAGAUGUGAAAUCCCCGGGCUCAACCUGGGAACUGCAUUUGUGACUGGCAAGCUAGAGUGUGGCAGAGGGGGGUGGAAUUCCGCGUGUAGCAGUGAAAUGCGUAGAUAUGCGGAGGAACACCGAUGGCGAAGGCAGCCCCCUGGGCCAACACUGACGCUCAUGCACGAAAGCGUGGGGAGCAAACAGGAUUAGAUACCCCUGUAGUCCCUGUCUCUUAUACAC